CUAGAAGCAUUCUCUGUUAUCAAGGAAGAUCUGCUCUCAUGUGACACAGAUGAGCCCCCCUCUGCAAUACUUUCAUCUUGUCAAAACCAUUUGGUUGAGUACGUGGCCAUGGUGUCAGCACAAUGCUUACAACAUGGCAUUUUGCAGAACCUUUUGUGGCUGUUGGUUGAGGACCUGAGAUUCUUGGUAACUGGGAACGAAAAUGAGAAAAAAAUACCCCUGUUCGCUGAAUCUGCUCCCCAACUGCACAAACAUGGGAAGAAAAAUAAG